GGCAAUCUCGGGCCCAAUGUCCUGGUCGCCCACACUUGAAGCAUUCAUCUUGUCCAACAGGUCUAUCCCCUCCCCCAUAGUUUCUCCUGUCACCAGACGAGUAACCACCGGCUCUAUAGCCAUGGUCAGAAUCCUCUCCUGCUCCUCCCCCUCCCAUUUUGGGUUGAGCUUUGUUCACAGAGAUUAUGCGAUCACCAAGCUCCCGCCCAUGCAUCUCCCGGAUUGCAUCUUCCAUUGCUCGCCGA
rnacentral:lncRNA from 1 species